CCUGGCGGUCCAUUAGCAGUCAUAUGUCCUGGACCAGGUGGACCACCUGAAGCCAUAUGACCUGGUCCUGGUGGCCCAGU